rnacentral:rRNA from 1 species
GAUGAACGCUGGCGGCGUGCCUAAUACAUGCAAGUCGAGCGAACGGACGAGAAGCUUGCUUCUCUGAUGUUAGCGGCGGACGGGUGAGUAACACGUGGAUAACCUACCUAUAAGACUGGGAUAACUUCGGGAAACCGGAGCUAAUACCGGAUGAUAUUUUGAACCGCAUGGUUCAAAAGUGAAAGACGGUCUUGCUGUCACUUAUAGAUGGAUCCGCGCUGCAUUAGCUAGUUGGUAAGGUAACGGCUUACCAAGGCAACGAUGCAUGGCCGACCUGAGAGGGUGAUCGGCCACACUGGAACUGAGACACGGUCCAGACUCCUACGGGAGGCAGCAGUAGGGAAUCUUCCGCAAUGGGCGAAAGCCUGACGGAGCAACGCCGCGUGAGUGAUGAAGGUCUUCGGAUCGUAAAACUCUGUUAUUAGGGAAGAACAUAUGUGUAAGUAACUGUGCACAUCUUGACGGUACCUAAUCAGAAAGCCACGGCUAACUACGUG